rnacentral:ncRNA from 16 species
ACUAUAUGUAGUGUUCGAGGUUCCUUCGAUUCGCAAGAAUUGGAGGCUAAGAUGGGAAUAUGGUCGGCGAACAUGAUGAUCGCCAAGCCGUAGCUGCCCCCGCAACUGUGAGCGGUGAGCGUUCGAUCGAGAUGGCCACUGAGACGCAUGCGUCUUGGGAAGGCGAGAUCGAAUGCUGCGACCCGCGAGCCAGGAGACCUGCCUCGAGCAUAGCGUCCACG